rnacentral:rRNA from 1 species
UAGAAGCAGCCAUCAUUUAAAGAAAGCGUAAUAGCUCACUGAUCGAGUCGUCCUGCGCGGAAGAUGUAACGGGGCUAAGCCAGUUACCGAAGCUGCGGAUUUGCAAUUUAUUGCAAGUGGUAGGAGAGCGUUCUGUAAGCCUGUGAAGGUGGCUUGUAAAGGCUGCUGGAGGUAUCAGAAGUGCGAAUGCUGACAUGAGUAGCGUUAAAGGGGGUGAAAAGCCCCCUCGCCGUAAGCGCAAGGUUUCCUACGCAACGUUCAUCGGCGUAGGGUGAGUCGGCCCCUAAGGCGAGGCAGAGAUGCGUAGCUGAUGGGAAACAGGUCAAUAUUCCUGUACCGAUUACAAGUGCGAUGUGGGGACGGAUCUUAAUAGGUUAUCCGGGUGUUGGAUGUCCCGGUUUAGGCAGAUGUAGGCGAUGGGUAGGCAAAUCCGCCCGUCAUAUACCGAGGCUGCCGAUCGAGCGAGCUUGCUCGCGAAGUAACUGAACGAGGUCCCAGGAAAAGCCACUAAGCUUCAGCUUGUAAUUGACCGUACCGCAAACCGACACUGGUGCGCGAGAUGAGUAUUCUAAGGCGCUUGAGAGAACUCAGGAGAAGGAACUCGGCAAAUUGACACCGUAACUUCGGAAGAAGGUGUGCCCUAGUAGUGUGAUGAGAACAUCUGAGCACGAAUGGGUUGCAAAAAAUAGGUGGCUGCGACUGUUUAUUAAAAACACAGCACUCUGCAAACACGAAAGUGGACGUAUAGGGUGUGACGCCUGCCCGGUGCUGGAAGAUUAAUUGAUGGGGUGCAAGCUCUUGAUCGAAGUCCCAGUAAACGGCGGCCGUAACUAUAACGGUCCUAAGGUAGCGAAAUUCCUUGUCGGGUAAGUUCCGACCUGCACGAAUGGCGUAACGAUGGCCACACUGUCUCCUCCUGAGACUCAGCGAAGUUGAAAUGUUUGUGAUGAUGCAAUCUCCCCGCGGAAAGACGGAAAGACCCCAUGAACCUUUACUGUAGCUUUGUAUUGAAUUUUGAACAGAUCUGUGUAGGAUAGGUGGGAGGCUUUGAAGCAGGGUCGCUAGAUCUUGUGGAGCCAACGUUGAAAUACCACCCUGGUGUGUUUGAGGUUCUAACCUAGGUCCAUUAUCUGGAUCGGGGACAGUGCAUGGUAGGCAGUUUGACUGGGGCGGUCUCCUCCCAAAGUGUAACGGAGGAGUUCGAAGGUACGCUAGGUACGGUCGGACAUCGUGCUAAUAGUGCAAUGGCAUAAGCGUGCUUAACUGCGAGACUGACAAGUCGAGCAGAUGCGAAAGCAGGACAUAGUGAUCCGGUGGUUCUGUAUGGAAGGGCCAUCGCUCAACGGAUAAAAGGUACUCUGGGGAUAACAGGCUGAUACCGCCCAAGAGUUCAUAUCGACGGCGGUGUUUGGCACCUCGAUGUCGGCUCAUCUC